CCUACGGGUGGCAGCAGUGGGGAAUAUUGGACAAUGGGGGGAACCCUGAUCCAGCCAUGCCGCGUGUGUGAAGAAGGCCCUCGGGUUGUAAAGCACUUUCAGUGAGGAAGAACGCCUGGUGGUUAAUACCCAUCAGGAAAGACAUCACUCACAGAAGAAGCACCGGCUAACUCGGUGCCAGCAGCCGCGGUAAUACGGAGGGUGCGAGCGUUAAUCGGAAUUACUGGGCGUAAAGCGCGCGUAGGUGGCUUGAUAAGCCGGUUGUGAAAGCCCCGGGCUCAACCUGGGAACGGCAUCCGGAACUGUCAAGCUAGAGUGCAGGAGAGGAAGGUAGAAUUCCCGGUGUAGCGGUGAAAUGCGUAGAGAUCGGGAGGAAUACCAGUGGCGAAGGCGGCCUUCUGGACUGACACUGACACUGAGGUGCGAAAGCGUGGGUAGCAAACAGGAUUAGAUACCCUGGUAGUC
rnacentral:rRNA from 1 species